UAAACGACUCUCGGCAACGGAUAUCUCGGCCCUCGCAUCGAUGAAGAACGUAGCGAAAUGCGAUACUUGGUGUGAAUUGCAGAAUCCCGUGAACCAUAGAGUCUUUGAACGCAAGUUGCGCCCGGAGCCAUUAGGCCGAGGGCACGUCUGCCUGGGCGUCACAC
rnacentral:rRNA from 1 species